AUGUUUGAGUUGGUCAGAUGGAGCAUAAAUGCCGUCAGCAAAUGUGUUAUCAGCGAGAUACUAGACGCAUGGGAGGUGACUACAUAUGUUGUCGCUAAGAUCGAUAGAAGAGAGAAGAAGUUCGAAGUGCGCCGUGAGGUGAAGGAAGGUUCUUUGUACAGGAUCAGUUGCACUUGUCGUAAGCUAGAAUGCUUGGGAACACCAUGCUCUCACAUAUUCUACAUCUUGGGAAUACGUCAAGUGGAACUGCUGCCUAGGUGUUGUGUUCCCAUGAGGUGGACAAUGAGUGCGAAGUCAGCAUUCCCUCCGACCAGAAAGAGCGAGAUGUAUGACUAUUCAGAAAGCCUUGUGAGGUACCGUGAGUUGCGGAAUUUGAGUCACGCGACAUGUUUCCAGGCAUGUCAAUCUAGUGAGGAGUAUCAUCAUUUGAAGACGGUUCUGAAUGCACAAGAUGGCAGCAAGGAAUCAAGCCGUGGUCAGGAGGAAUGCAUUAGGUUUGGUCCGGUGCUGCCACAGACGACGGAAAUUGAUUGUGCAGAUUUGGAAAAGGUUCUAGACCCAGUGCAUGUGCAAGGCCGAGGUGCACCGAAGAAAAGGUUGUAG
rnacentral:rRNA from 1 species